UGGCUGUUGGUCUAGCGGUUGGGGGAUGACGGACUCAGAUAAAUCCGUCCGGGGGUUUUCGUAGGUCUGGGGUUCGAAUCCGACACAGGCGG